AUUGAACGCUGGCGGCAAGCCUUACACAUGCAAGUCGAACGGCAGCGGGCCCUUCGGGGUGCCGGCGAGUGGCGAACGGGUGAGUAAUGCAUCGGAACGUACCCGGGAGAGGGGGAUAACCGGCCGAAAGGCUGGCUAAUACCGCAUGAACUCGGAAGAGCAAAGCGGGGGACCUUCGGGCCUCGCGCUCUCGGAGCGGCCGAUGUCCGAUUAGGCUAGUUGGUGGGGUAAAGGCCCACCAAGGCGACGAUCGGUAGCGGGUCUGAGAGGACGAUCCGCCACACUGGGACUGAGACACGGCCCAGACUCCUACGGGAGGCAGCAGUGGGGAAUCUUGGACAAUGGGCGCAAGCCUGAUCCAGCAAUGCCGCGUGGGUGAAGAAGGCCUUCGGGUUGUAAAGCCCUUUCGGCGGGGAAGAAAUCGGUCAGGCGAAUAGUCUGGCCGGAUGACGGUACCCGCAGAAGAAGCACCGGCUAACUACGUG
rnacentral:rRNA from 1 species